AGUUCAAGAGGCAAGAUUCUUUAGCAAGUAGACAAUACCUCAGCCCACCUUGGGGCUGGGCAGGCGGCCUUUUGAUGUGCUCCCAGACCAAGGUGCCGGUGUCCCAUUGAGAAAUCAAGGCAGCAAAUUCCUUACAGGUUUGACCUACUGGAUCCAUCAGAAUGUCUUCACUACCUCCCAAGUCUCAACCUUCACCCUGACUUGCUUCUGGAUCCUCACAGAAGGUGCAGGCUGGGCCUGCUCUCCUUCCCUGGUCCCUAGGUCACCUCAUUUCCUGGGCAGACCCCUCCUCCUGCUGUUUCGGGGGGUCCCUCCCUCAGCCCCCUUGAAAGCAUCACAUUAGCGCUUGGCCGCCUGUGCUGGCCCGGCCAUCCCCCUUUGGGGUGUUUAUGACCCUGCCCCAGGCCUCAGGGCCCUUGGGAGAUGGGCCAGAACCUUGAGCCACUCUGCUGGAUGGCAUUCCUUAGACUAUGGCCAAAGGCACGUCAGGGCUUCUGGGUGCCUGGACAACCCAGGCCUCCCACAGCCCCGGGGAGCACGGAAAGAGUAAAAGAAUGAUGCCCCACAGGGCACCUUUCCCAGGUCAGCCUCUCUUCCUCAUUCUGUCCCCUGUGCAAUCAAAGCCCCUUGGCUGUGAACAGACACUUCCCCAUGGCAGAUGGACCAGCAGACCUCUGGCCUGGGCCCACACCUCCUCGGUCACUGCAGACCACAAUACAGCUUGGAAAAGGGAAGUGGGCACAUAGCAGCAUGGCUGUGGAAUUGGGGAGCACACCCCUGCCUUUGAACCAGGCUCCAACACCUUCCCCAUGGGAGACCCUCAUCCAUUUCUCCCACAGGCCCUUGGGGCAGAAGCCUCACUCAUGGCCCCACUGAGUUCCUGCCUACCUGGCCCUGGCAUCCCUUUCCCAAGUCCCAGAACCCCAGGGGCUGGUGCCCAUCCUGCCUGCAUGCAGGAUACCACAGGUCCCGCCUCCCCUCCCCAGCUUUCCUUCCAGGGCAGCUGUGGACUUGGAGGACUUGUCUCCCCCACUGCCCCUGGGUGGGCCUCAGUAUGGGGCCAUACCACAGGGGCUCCCCAGGCUCUCUGCACUACAGAACUCUGCUAUCCCUGCCCCCGCAUCAAGACCCCGCUGGGAGGUGUCCCCAGUAACAGCUCACAGCCUGAAUAGGAAGUGGUGGGCACAUGUGUGUUUAUUUGAGGCACCGAAGCAGCAGGAGGGCUCUUGGGGGGGACAGGGGAAGCAGCAGCUGGAUUUGGGGUUGGGAGCCCAUUGCCCCGUCUUGAAGCCUAGAUGUGGAAGCAGCGAACCCAUCCCUCAAAAGGCUGCUCUCGAGGUGAGUGAGACACCAGAGAAAAGGAGCUGGGGGUCAGUGCCUGGGGCUAUCAGGAGGCCUGGACGCUGGACACUCACCUCCGCAUAGGCCCUGACA